rnacentral:tRNA from 1 species
GGUCUCGUGGCCUAAUGGAUAAGGCGUCGGUCUUCGGAACCGAAGAUUGCAGGUUCGACCCCUGCCGGGAUCA